GAUGAACGCUGGCGGCGUGCCUAAUACAUGCAAGUCGAGCGAACGGACGAGAAGCUUGCUUCUCUGAUGUUAGCGGCGGACGGGUGAGUAACACGUGGAUAACCUACCUAUAAGACUGGGAUAACUUCGGGAAACCGUAGCUAAUACCGGAUAAUAUUUUGAACCGCAUGGUUCAAAAGUGAAAGACGGUCUUGCUGUCACUUAUAGAUGGAUCCGCGCUUCAUUAGCUAGUUGGUAAGGUAACGGCUUACCAAGGCAACGAUGCAUAGCCGACCUGAGAGGGUGAUCGGCCACACUGGAACUGAGACACGGUCCAGACUCCUGCGGGAGGCAGCAGUAGGGAAUCUUCCGCAAUGGGCGAAAGCCUGACGGAGCAACGCCGCGUGAGUGAUGAAGGUCUUCGGAUCGUAAAACUCUGUUAUUAGGGAAGAACAUAUGUGUAAGUAACUGUGCACAUCUUGACGGUACCUAAUCAGAAAGCCACGGCUAACUACGUG
rnacentral:rRNA from 1 species